rnacentral:snRNA from 14 species
ACACUCUGGUUUCUCUUCAGAUCGUAUAAAUCUUUCGCCUUUUACUAAAGAUUUCCGUGGAGAGGAACAACUGUGAGUCUUAACCCAAUUUUUU